GCUUUGUUAGCUCAGUUGGGAGAGCAUGAGACUUUUAAUCUCAGGGUCAUGGGUUCAAGCCCCGUACAAAGCU
rnacentral:tRNA from 1 species